rnacentral:rRNA from 1 species
UACGAAGGGGGGCUAGCGUUGUUCGGAAUUACUGGGCGUAAAGGGCGCGUAGGCGGCCAACUAAGUCAGACGUGAAAUCCCCAGGCUCAACCUGGGAACUGCGUCUGAUACUGGAUGGCUUUGAAUCCGGGAGAGGGAUGCAGAAUUCCAGGUGUAGCGGUGAAAUGCGUAGAUAUCAGGAGGAACACCUGUGGCGAAAGCGGCUCACUGGACCACAACUGACGCUGAGGCGCGAAAGCUAGGGGGAGCAAACAGG